CAGUCCACACGUGGGGAAUUUCCCCCAGUGUAUGCAUCCACACUUCCCAAUAAGGAAACCAGCCUCCCGGCGAAGAGCUCAGCACAUGACCAGGCUCCACCAAUAAAGACGAGCCACACUAACCUUGGAAUUAGCAGCCAGAAGUAGGCAUGGACUCGAUUCUGAAAGGACAGAACCUAGCUGCUGCUAAUGCCACAUUUCCACAGCUUGCCUGAGGGCCCAACACAGAGGAAGCCUUCAGAGAGAGGUGACAAGAGACAGAUUUCUAAUGACAGGCUUUGAGCACCAGGAUCCAGCAGGACCUGAACUGAUAGAUCUAUGCCUCUGGGCCUUUCCAUCACUUGAAACCAUGUCUGUCUUGCUUACGCCAACUCGAGUUGGGGAGGUAUACAAGAAAGAGAUAUCCAAAAUAAAUCAAUGAGAUUAAUACGACACAGCGUUCUGGAAGUUUCAUACUUGAGAUCUGAAAUGAAGGAGACUUCCCCACAGGUCCCUUCAGAGACUCUCCAGAGACUCUCCUGAGAAUUCUAAGCAUUUCCCCCCAAGAACAUCCAAAGAACUUCGCCCAGAGAUUCCCACCCUGGAUGAUCUCCCGAGAUGCCCUGCUUCAAGUGCCCCAUAGCCUGUCCAGGCUCCUACUGACCGGUGACUUGGCCCAGGCUGGCACACUUGUACUUCCUGCAGUCCGUCCAGAUGCCCAGGUAGCCAGUGUAAGAGCCCUGCAAGUACGCCAGCCGUCCGUCCGCCAUACCGAGCAUCAUCAGGGUUGCCAGGACGCUGAAGGCCAGAGACCAGCCCCGCAGGACGAACUUGCGGUCCCCUUCCCAGGAAGGCACCGCGUCCACUGGGAAAGAAUAGAGUUCUGUGCCACACUGCUGCAGCCUAGCCUCCAUCUCCAACCACAGCCACGUCUCCAUCCCCACCUAGACCCCGAUCCCAACCGCAUCCCCGUCUCCAAUUCCAAAUGCAUCCUCGUUCCCAUCUCUAACCCUAACGUCCAGCCCAGCCCCCUCCCACGACCCCAUUCGAUGCCCAAACCUACUUGUUUUGUCUCCAACCCCAUCCUCCAGUCCCUGUUCCCCAACCCCAGCUCCAUCUCCACCCUCAACCUCAACUGCUUCUCUAGACCCCUGUCACAAAUCCCAAUCCAGGACACGGACAACUAGACGUGGGUUCCACAGCAUGCUCAUGAGGCCAAGACCCAUGGUGCCAACAGAACGAAAUGCCAGGGGUUUGCCCAGUGUUCACCAAGCCCCCUGUCCCUCCCACUGCUCACUUAACCUCCAGCCACACCGGACUUCACCGUGUUCCUCUCGCACCGAGAGCUUUCCUACCUCAGCAAUUCAACAAGCAGUCCAGGCUGCCCCUUCCGCCUGGGGACCUCUCCUUCCACAUGUGCCCAGACUGUCCUAACCAUCCUUUACAUCUCACCUCCCAUGCCACUCCCCCCACAUCUCCCAUCCUGAGCCCCCCAGCCCAGCCCAACCUCAGUUCUUGGCAAGGUCACCCACCAAACACUCCCAUAAUGCAACAUGCAAGUCUCCUUCACUGGUAUCCCUUAUCUCACAAACUGCUUUUUUCCCUACCCACCUUCCCCAACAGACCCCCGUGAGGGGAGGGAAUAGAUCUCUUCCUUUUCCCACUUCACCCUCAUCACUUGGUACGGGGCCUUUGCUAGUUGUUAAGUUAAAAAAGGGAACAACUGAGGGGCACCUGGGUGGCUCAGUUGGUUAAGUGUCCCACUCUUCAUUUCAGCUCAGGUCAUGAUCACCAU